rnacentral:rRNA from 1 species
UACGUAGGGUGCGAGCGUUGUCCGGAAUUACUGGGCGUAAAGAGCUCGUAGGUGGUUUGUCGCGUUGUUCGUGAAAACCGGGGGCUUAACCUUCGGCGUGCGGGCGAUACGGGCAGACUGGAGUACUGCAGGGGAGACUGGAAUUCCUGGUGUAGCGGUGGAAUGCGCAGAUAUCAGGAAGAACACCCGUGGCGAAGGCGGCUCUCUGGGACGGUACUGACGCUGAGACGCGAAAGCGUGGGGAGCGAACAGG